GACGAACGCUGGCGGCGUGCUUAACACAUGCAAGUCGAACGGAAAGGCCCUGCUUUUGUGGGGUGCUCGAGUGGCGAACGGGUGAGUAACACGUGAGUAACCUGCCCUUGACUUUGGGAUAACUUCAGGAAACUGGGGCUAAUACCGGAUAGGAGCUCCUGCUGCAUGGUGGGGGUUGGAAAGUUUCGGCGGUUGGGGAUGGACUCGCGGCUUAUCAGCUUGUUGGUGGGGUAGGGGCUUACCAAGGCUUUGACCGGUAGCCGGCCUGAGAGGGUGACCGGCGACAUUGGGACUGAGAGAGGGCCCAGACUCCUACGGGAGGCAGUGGUGGGGAAUAUUGCACAGUGGGCGGAAGCCUGAUGCAGCAACGCCGCGUGUGGGAUGACGGCCUUCGGGUUGUAAACCGCUUUCGCCUGUGACGAAGCGUUAGUGACGGUAAUGGGUAAAGAAGCACCGGCUAACUACGUG
rnacentral:rRNA from 1 species